GANUUCAACUGAAAAAGNCAUCAACAACAAAGUUGUAUAACUCAUCAAGAUUUAUAACUUCUAUUUUGAUCAUUUCUUCAUCCGACAAAGCGAUAGUAACAUUUUCAUAAAAUUUACAUAUCUCUCUAAUAGUUUAUAAAACUAUAUAAGAGAUAUAUACAUUUUGUGAACAAUGUUACAAAUCAUUUUGUCAGAUGAAGAAAUGACCCAAAUAAAAGUUAUAGAUUUUGAUGAGUUAUACCACUUUGUUAUUGAUGAGUUUUUCAGUUGAAUUC
rnacentral:pre_miRNA from 1 species